AUUGAACGCUGGCGGCAGGCCUAACACAUGCAAGUCGAGCGAGGGGCGGACGGGUGAGUAAUGUCUGGGAAUCUGCCUGAUGGAGGGGGAUAACUACUGGAAACGGUAGCUAAUACCGCAUACCAUCAGAUGACCCCAUAUGGGAUUAGCUUGUAGGUGGGGUAACGGCUCACCUAGGCGACGAUCCCUAGCUGGUCUGAGAGGAUGACCAGCCACACUGGAACUGAGACACGGUCCAGACUCCUACGGGAGGCAGCAGUGGGGAAUAUUGCACAAUGGGCGCAAGCCUGAUGCAGCCAUGCCGCGUGUAUGAAGAAGGCCUUCGGGUUGUAAAGUACUUUCAGCGGGGAGGCGUUACCCGCAGAAGAAGCACCGGCUAACUCCGUGCCAGCAGCCGCGGUAAUAC
rnacentral:rRNA from 1 species